GAUGAACGCUGGCGGCGUGCCUAUUACAUGCAAGUCGAACGAAACUUCUUUAUCACCGAGUGCUUGCACUCACCGAUAAAGAGUUGAGUGGCGAACGGGUGAGUAACACGUGGGCAACCUGCCCAAAAGAGGGGGAUAACACUUGGAAACAGGUGCUAAUACCGCAUAACCAUAGUUACCGCAUGGUAACUAUGUAAAAGGUGGCUAUACUACCGCUUUUGGAUGGGCCCGCGGCGCAUUAGCUAGUUGGUAGGGUAAAGGCUUACCAAGGCAAUGAUGCGUAGCCGAAUUGAGAGGGUGAUCGGCCACAUUGGGACUGAGACACGGCCCAAACUCCUACGGGAGGCAGCAGUAGGGAAUCUUCCACAAUGGGCGAAAGCCUGAUGGAGCAACGCCGCGUGGGUGAAGAAGGUCUUCGGAUCGUAAAACCCUGUUGUUAGAGAAGAAAGUGCGUGAGAGUAACUGUUCACGUUUCGACGGUAUCUAACCAGAAAGCCACGGCUAACUACGUG
rnacentral:rRNA from 1 species